GACGAACGCUGGCGGCGUGCUUAACACAUGCAAGUCGAACGGAAAGGCCCCCAUCUUGGUGGGGGUGCUCGAGUGGCGAACGGGUGAGUAACACGUGGGUGAUCUGCCCUGUACUUCGGGAUAAGCUUGGGAAACUGGGUCUAAUACCGGAUAGGACCAUGGUUUAGUGUCUCAUGGUGGAAAGAUUAUUGUUUUGGUGCAGGAUGAGCUCGCGGCCUAUCAGCUUGUUGGUGGGGUAAUGGCCUACCAAGGCGUCGACGGGUAGCCGGCCUGAGAGGGUGGACGGCCACAUUGGGACGGAGAGACGGCCCAGACUCCUACGGGAGGCAGCAGUGGGGAAUAUUGCACAAUGGGCGCAAGCCUGAUGCAGCGACGCCGCGUGGGGGAUGACGGCCUUCGGGUUGUAAACUCCUUUCGUGAGGGACGAAGCCGCACUUUUUUUGGGUGUGGUGACGGUACCUUUGUUAAGAAGCACCGGCUAACUACGUG
rnacentral:rRNA from 1 species